rnacentral:rRNA from 1 species
GUGACCUACGGGGCGCAGCAGUGAGGAAUAUUGGUCAAUGGCCGGAAGGCUGAACCAGCCAAGCCGCGUGAAGGACGAAGGUGCCAGGCAUUGUAAACUUCUUUUGUCAAGGGACAAAAUCAGGCUCGAGAGCCUGACCGAGGGUACUUGAAGAAAAAGCAUCGGCUAACUCCGUGCCAGCAGCCGCGGUAAUACGGAGGAUGCGAGCGUUAUCCGGAUUUAUUGGGUUUAAAGGGUGCGUAGGCGGUCGGAUAAGUUAGAGGUGAAAUCCCGAGGCUCAACUUCGGUAUUGC